rnacentral:lncRNA from 1 species
CUUCUUCCUGCUGCCCAUGGCUCUGCAAAGAAGACGAAGCCCUGUUACCGCGGCCGUGGGCCGUUCCCCCGCAGCCUCGCGACAAACCGCUGCGUGGAUCAGCAAGCCCAGAGCCUCCUUCAGACAAGCCCCCCUCCUACGGCCCCCGGCCCCUUUUUAAGGUGCUUCUAACUGGCGGCAAAUCAGCACACUGAUACAAAGUGAACACCCCGCGAGGAAGCGGAGCCUGCAGUCCACGGGCUCGUGGCUCGCCGGGCGGUUUUCUGGGGAUCUGCGAAGCCCCCUCCCCACCCCGGAGCCGGCCAGGGGGCGCGCGCAGAGGCCGGAGUCAGUGCGCCGGGCGCGGUGCAGCCUGUCGGGCACAGGGUCGCCAGUCGAGGAAUUCUGACAAAAAAACGACAUGGGACCCUGUUAUCCCUGCUGUUCUUAUGGAUUACUGGGAAAGUGAGCCACUGCGAACGACAGGUACAAGAUCUUCGACGCGCCCGGAGUCACCAACCGAGUCUGCCGCGACCUAGCCGCGGUCGUCAUGGCAACCUGGCCCCCCCGCCAGGCCUGCCAGGAAAGCCGGCGGACACGUAAGCCACGCCCACUCUGGGCCCAACGCAGUCUCUCCGCGGAGGCUCUGAACCCAGCCAGGGAGAGGCAGGAGGGAGUCCCGCCCCUUGCCCUCCAUAUCGGACCAUAGGAACCCACUCAUUGGCUGCAGUGUUUGUCAGCGUCUGGAGGCUUCGAACCCACCAAGCAAAGACCCAGUGCAUCUGUGCGUUGCACAGUCGCAUCUGUGAAUCCCUGCAUCCCUCCUGCCCUGCCUGCCAAGACUGAUGUGCAGCUUUUCUACCAUCACAUACCGGUAUAAUGUGUGCAAGGUGGGGGGUGUCUCCAGGUUUUGAGGGAUCUGCAAGCGUUCUCUUUAAGGCAAAGAAUAUGAAAUUACAAAUUCAAAAUUAGAUAUGAAAGUCAAGUGAGACACAUACAAAACAGUUACAGACAUUGUAGAUAUUAAUCCAACUGUAUCAAUAACCACUUUAAAUGUGAAUAAUCUGAUUACACCAAUUAAAAAAGAGAUUGUCAGAAUGGAUUUCAAAAACAAACAAAGCCCAAUCGUGUGUUAUCCACAAGAAAAUACAUUAAAAGCAAAAGGAUAGAGAAAGCUAUACCAGGCUGACACUAAUUAAAAAAAUAGCUGAAGUAGGUAUGUUAAUUUCAAGAAAAGCAGACUUCAGAACAAGGAAAUUUAUCAGGUAUAAACAGGGACAUUACAUAAAGUUAAAGGGAUCAGUUAUUUGGGAAGACAUAACAAUACUUAAUAUGUAUGUACUUAAAAACAGAGCACCGAAAUAUGUGAGGCAAAAGAAGAUAAAACUGCAAGGAAAAAUAGGUAAACUCAGUAUUAUAAUAGAAUGCUUUCAUACCAUUUUUAAAAAGUAAUUAAUACAUCCAGCAGAAGCAAAUGAGCAAGGAUAUAGUUGAACUGAAAAAUAUCAAAUUGAUCUAAUUGACAUUUAUGCAAUAUUUAGUUCAACAACAGCGGAAUAUAGAUUCUUUCUCAAGCUCACAUGGGACAUUCACUGAGAUAGACCACAAUCUAGGCCAUAAAACAUAGCUUAACAAAUUUAAAAGGAUAGAACAAAGUAUGUUCUCUGACUGCAAUAGAAUUAAACUAGGAAUCAAUCACAGCUGAUGAAAGAGAUCUCACAGAUUUAAAUAAAUGAAGAAAUAUUCCGUGUUCAUGGAUAGGAAGAAUUAAUAUUGUUAAGAUAUCAAUUCUUCCUAAGUGAAGCAUACACCAAAUGAUUUCCAUCCAGGGAGUGCUGAUACCCUGUUUGGCCAUGAGGUACCCAGCAACCCUCUGUGAAGUACAGGGCGAUGG